rnacentral:lncRNA from 1 species
AACAACUUGCCCUUCAGAGCAUUUUUCUCCUCAUUUCGACCACACACUUCAGACACAUUAAUUAAGGCAGUACUUUGCGUCCUCUCAGAUUUAUCCUCCUUACUUCUAGUGACACUCAAAUUAAAAGUAUCUUUCUGGCUAGCAAUAUCAUCUAAAGUUUCAUUCAUUUCUUUUAUCUUUUUAGCAAUAUCACAACACAGAAAGAGUUGUUUGAAACCAAAGCAAGAGGCAGCAGGAAAGAAAGAGAUGCAUACCUUCUGCAGGAAAGAAAGAGCAUUAUCAGCAUCAACUCCCUCGAUUUGCAGUUUGAGCCUGGCAGUAUUCCACUCAUCCAAUACAUCUUCAGUGUCGUAGGAUGCGUGUUUGAGCUUGUCUAAAGAAAUUUCAGAAAUAUGUUUUCACUACAACUGUUAGAUGCAUGAAUAAAACAGAGGACGAUACAACAUCAGAUUUGACCACUGAUUGAAUUGCUGUUCAUAUGACUGCAGUUAAAAAAAAAAAAAAACAUCGAUGAAUACCAAAACACAAGUCACUGUCGUUAAUAUUUCUCUUAUUAACGCAGGUGAGAUUACCUUGAUGAAUGGAGGCGGUUGGUGUGUUCACUGGGCUCAAAGUACAUGACUGCUGGAGAUGAUGCUGCUUUUGGAAUGAUAGGUUGGGCUGAGAGUUUCAUGCAAUCAUUGUUUCCCAGGUGGUUGUAGCUAACAGAUAAUUUGGCACCCACCAGCCAAUCAAUUUCAUCACAAUCAGAAACCAUCUUUUUCCAUAAAGUGCUUAUAACGAUCAAAACUAUAUAUAUACCUGAUUCCAGCCCUUACAAGAAAAUAAACCAUAACAGACUUCAUCUUUGUCUUGCCAAUCUUCAAUUCUUCAUCUCUUCUACUGUUGCUCCGAAUGGCGAAAACAAUAAGCGCUGCAAACAAAAACGAAGUUAAACAAAAGAAAGGCACAAUCUUUUGCUUGUCUAAAAAACUUCAACCGAACAACAAAGCAAAGAGCAAGGUUAUCAAAUUUAAGAACCUAAAAUCUCAGCCUCCUUAAUUUUCUCCAAAGAAGCAAGAAGGUUCACCAUUGUACCUUCUCCAUCAUAAGAUCCAACUCUAUUUAAUGAUUCUUUAGUGAGCCAAAAAAUUGGCUUGUUGCACUUUGUCCUUUGUGGCACAGGAGAUUCAUCUGAGAACAAAAAUUAAAUCAAUAAAGUGACUCGCACUUGAUUAAGAUUUAAUCAAAAAAUUUAAUAAGAAACUCUUGAUUGCUAUGAAGCCAACAGUGAGAGUUCACUGUUCCUACGCCACCCCACAGGCAUACUCUAAAAAUAAGCCAAAAAAAAAAAUCCGAAGAAAUUCUGAUUUCCAAAUUGACCGACCAAAGUUAAAAAAUGAAAAGAAUAAGAAUCUACAGAGCCUGCUGUACGGCCAAGGCGGAUGUACGGUACAGCAGUUUUAUUUAGUUUCUAUCCGACAUUUACUGUGAUAGGCAAUGAAAUUGGUGCAAAUAAAUUACGGACCAACAUUGUUUAAUCUCAUUGGACAGAUCGUUAUAACUCAAUAGUACAGCAGGUAAAAUAUCUUUUUCAAAAUCUUCCACCUGCCAAAUUUCACUAUCUAAGAUAUUUUGCCACUCUUCUCUAGUUUUUUUAACCACAACAAACCCCAGAUAGUUUUAGCCGCAAGUGGCAACAUUCUGGUUUAGACAAUUAUUUCUACCAAUUUCUUCUAAUUGUUCGCACUCUAAACGAGAUCGAUUGAGAAAAGCAAAUCGUUUAAAUAGCGACAACAUUCUGGUUUAGACAAUUCUUUAAUGAAGAUAAGAUAGAAUUAUUAAUGCGUUGAUGAAGUGAAUUCAGUUCACCUAAAUUAGGAGUAGAACCUUCUAAAUUUUCGAUGAUGGCUUUCGCAAUUCGAAACUCAUCGAAAGGGUCCGAAACACAAACCCAGAUCCUAACAUUAAAAUUGUUGAUUACAUCUGCAUCGUUGUAAGCCAAUUGAGCAAGAGUUGUCUUUCCGAUACCACCCAUCCCUACGAGAGAGAUGAGUUGGAUGGCAUUUGGUUGUUCAGCAGUUUCACUUAACAACUUGCCCUUCAGAGCAUUUUUCUCCUCAUUUCGACCACACACUUCAGACACAUUAAUUAAGGCAGUACUUUGCGUCCUCUCAGAUUUAUCCUCCUUACUUCUAGUGACACUCAAAUUAAAAGUAUCUUUCUGGCUAGCAAUAUCAUCUAAAGUUUCAUUCAUUUCUUUUAUCUUUUUAGCAAUAUCACAACACAGAAAGAGUUGUUUGAAACCAAAGCAAGAGGCAGCAGGAAAGAAAGAGAUGCAUACCUUCUGCAGGAAAGAAAGAGCAUUAUCAGCAUCAACUCCCUCGAUUUGCAGUUUGAGCCUGGCAGUAUUCCACUCAUCCAAUACAUCUUCAGUGUCGUAGGAUGCGUGUUUGAGCUUGUCUAAAGAAAUUUCAGAAAUAUGUUUUCACUACAACUGUUAGAUGCAUGAAUAAAACAGAGGACGAUACAACAUCAGAUUUGACCACUGAUUGAAUUGCUGUUCAUAUGACUGCAGUUAAAAAAAAAAAAAAACAUCGAUGAAUACCAAAACACAAGUCACUGUCGUUAAUAUUUCUCUUAUUAACGCAGGUGAGAUUACCUUGAUGAAUGGAGGCGGUUGGUGUGUUCACUGGGCUCAAAGUACAUGACUGCUGGAGAUGAUGCUGCUUUUGGAAUGAUAGGUUGGGCUGAGAGUUUCAUGCAAUCAUUGUUUCCCAGGUGGUUGUAGCUAACAGAUAAUUUGGCACCCACCAGCCAAUCAAUUUCAUCACAAUCAGAAACCAUCUUUUUCCAUAAAGUGCUUAUAACGAUCAAAACUAUAUAUAUACCUGAUUCCAGCCCUUACAAGAAAAUAAACCAUAACAGACUUCAUCUUUGUCUUGCCAAUCUUCAAUUCUUCAUCUCUUCUACUGUUGCUCCGAAUGGCGAAAACAAUAAGCGCUGCAAACAAAAACGAAGUUAAACAAAAGAAAGGCACAAUCUUUUGCUUGUCUAAAAAACUUCAACCGAACAACAAAGCAAAGAGCAAGGUUAUCAAAUUUAAGAACCUAAAAUCUCAGCCUCCUUAAUUUUCUCCAAAGAAGCAAGAAGGUUCACCAUUGUACCUUCUCCAUCAUAAGAUCCAACUCUAUUUAAUGAUUCUUUAGUGAGCCAAAAAAUUGGCUUGUUGCACUUUGUCCUUUGUGGCACAGGAGAUUCAUCUGAGAACAAAAAUUAAAUCAAUAAAGUGACUCGCACUUGAUUAAGAUUUAAUCAAAAAAUUUAAUAAGAAACUCUUGAUUGCUAUGAAGCCAACAGUGAGAGUUCACUGUUCCUACGCCACCCCACAGGCAUACUCUAAAAAUAAGCCAAAAAAAAAAAUCCGAAGAAAUUCUGAUUUCCAAAUUGACCGACCAAAGUUAAAAAAUGAAAAGAAUAAGAAUCUACAGAGCCUGCUGUACGGCCAAGGCGGAUGUACGGUACAGCAGUUUUAUUUAGUUUCUAUCCGACAUUUACUGUGAUAGGCAAUGAAAUUGGUGCAAAUAAAUUACGGACCAACAUUGUUUAAUCUCAUUGGACAGAUCGUUAUAACUCAAUAGUACAGCAGGUAAAAUAUCUUUUUCAAAAUCUUCCACCUGCCAAAUUUCACUAUCUAAGAUAUUUUGCCACUCUUCUCUAGUUUUUUUAACCACAACAAACCCCAGAUAGUUUUAGCCGCAAGUGGCAACAUUCUGGUUUAGACAAUUAUUUCUACCAAUUUCUUCUAAUUGUUCGCACUCUAAACGAGAUCGAUUGAGAAAAGCAAAUCGUUUAAAUAGCGACAACAUUCUGGUUUAGACAAUUCUUUAAUGAAGAUAAGAUAGAAUUAUUAAUGCGUUGAUGAAGUGAAUUCAGUUCACCUAAAUUAGGAGUAGAACCUUCUAAAUUUUCGAUGAUGGCUUUCGCAAUUCGAAACUCAUCGAAAGGGUCCGAAACACAAACCCAGAUCCUAACAUUAAAAUUGUUGAUUACAUCUGCAUCGUUGUAAGCCAAUUGAGCAAGAGUUGUCUUUCCGAUACCACCCAUCCCUACGAGAGAGAUGAGUUGGAUGGCAUUUGGUUGUUCAGCAGUUUCACUUAACAACUUGCCCUUCAGAGCAUUUUUCUCCUCAUUUCGACCACACACUUCAGACACAUUAAUUAAGGCAGUACUUUGCGUCCUCUCAGAUUUAUCCUCCUUACUUCUAGUGACACUCAAAUUAAAAGUAUCUUUCUGGCUAGCAAUAUCAUCUAAAGUUUCAUUCAUUUCUUUUAUCUUUUUAGCAAUAUCACAACACAGAAAGAGUUGUUUGAAACCAAAGCAAGAGGCAGCAGGAAAGAAAGAGAUGCAUACCUUCUGCAGGAAAGAAAGAGCAUUAUCAGCAUCAACUCCCUCGAUUUGCAGUUUGAGCCUGGCAGUAUUCCACUCAUCCAAUACAUCUUCAGUGUCGUAGGAUGCGUGUUUGAGCUUGUCUAAAGAAAUUUCAGAAAUAUGUUUUCACUACAACUGUUAGAUGCAUGAAUAAAACAGAGGACGAUACAACAUCAGAUUUGACCACUGAUUGAAUUGCUGUUCAUAUGACUGCAGUUAAAAAAAAAAAAAAACAUCGAUGAAUACCAAAACACAAGUCACUGUCGUUAAUAUUUCUCUUAUUAACGCAGGUGAGAUUACCUUGAUGAAUGGAGGCGGUUGGUGUGUUCACUGGGCUCAAAGUACAUGACUGCUGGAGAUGAUGCUGCUUUUGGAAUGAUAGGUUGGGCUGAGAGUUUCAUGCAAUCAUUGUUUCCCAGGUGGUUGUAGCUAACAGAUAAUUUGGCACCCACCAGCCAAUCAAUUUCAUCACAAUCAGAAACCAUCUUUUUCCAUAAAGUGCUUAUAACGAUCAAAACUAUAUAUAUACCUGAUUCCAGCCCUUACAAGAAAAUAAACCAUAACAGACUUCAUCUUUGUCUUGCCAAUCUUCAAUUCUUCAUCUCUUCUACUGUUGCUCCGAAUGGCGAAAACAAUAAGCGCUGCAAACAAAAACGAAGUUAAACAAAAGAAAGGCACAAUCUUUUGCUUGUCUAAAAAACUUCAACCGAACAACAAAGCAAAGAGCAAGGUUAUCAAAUUUAAGAACCUAAAAUCUCAGCCUCCUUAAUUUUCUCCAAAGAAGCAAGAAGGUUCACCAUUGUACCUUCUCCAUCAUAAGAUCCAACUCUAUUUAAUGAUUCUUUAGUGAGCCAAAAAAUUGGCUUGUUGCACUUUGUCCUUUGUGGCACAGGAGAUUCAUCUGAGAACAAAAAUUAAAUCAAUAAAGUGACUCGCACUUGAUUAAGAUUUAAUCAAAAAAUUUAAUAAGAAACUCUUGAUUGCUAUGAAGCCAACAGUGAGAGUUCACUGUUCCUACGCCACCCCACAGGCAUACUCUAAAAAUAAGCCAAAAAAAAAAAUCCGAAGAAAUUCUGAUUUCCAAAUUGACCGACCAAAGUUAAAAAAUGAAAAGAAUAAGAAUCUACAGAGCCUGCUGUACGGCCAAGGCGGAUGUACGGUACAGCAGUUUUAUUUAGUUUCUAUCCGACAUUUACUGUGAUAGGCAAUGAAAUUGGUGCAAAUAAAUUACGGACCAACAUUGUUUAAUCUCAUUGGACAGAUCGUUAUAACUCAAUAGUACAGCAGGUAAAAUAUCUUUUUCAAAAUCUUCCACCUGCCAAAUUUCACUAUCUAAGAUAUUUUGCCACUCUUCUCUAGUUUUUUUAACCACAACAAACCCCAGAUAGUUUUAGCCGCAAGUGGCAACAUUCUGGUUUAGACAAUUAUUUCUACCAAUUUCUUCUAAUUGUUCGCACUCUAAACGAGAUCGAUUGAGAAAAGCAAAUCGUUUAAAUAGCGACAACAUUCUGGUUUAGACAAUUCUUUAAUGAAGAUAAGAUAGAAUUAUUAAUGCGUUGAUGAAGUGAAUUCAGUUCACCUAAAUUAGGAGUAGAACCUUCUAAAUUUUCGAUGAUGGCUUUCGCAAUUCGAAACUCAUCGAAAGGGUCCGAAACACAAACCCAGAUCCUAACAUUAAAAUUGUUGAUUACAUCUGCAUCGUUGUAAGCCAAUUGAGCAAGAGUUGUCUUUCCGAUACCACCCAUCCCUACGAGAGAGAUGAGUUGGAUGGCAUUUGGUUGUUCAGCAGUCUCACUUAACAACUUGCCCUUCAGAGCAUUUUUCUCCUCAUUUCGACCACACACUUCAGACACAUUAAUUAAGGCAGUACUUUGCGUCCUCUCAGAUUUAUCCUCCUUACUUCUAGUGACACUCAAAUUAAACGUAUCUUUCUGUCGGGAAAUAUUAUCUAAAGUUUCAUUCAUUUCUUUUAUCUUUUUAGCAAUAUCACGACGCAGAAAGAGUUGUUCGAAACCAAAGCAAGAGGCAGCAGGAAAGAAAGAGCUGCAUAACUUCUGCAGGAAAGAAAGAGCAUUAUCAGCAUCAACUCCCUCGUUUUGCAGUUUGCCCCUGGCAGUAUUCCACUCAUCCAACACAUCAUCAAUGUCGUAGGAUGCUUGUUUGAGCUUGUCUAACCAGAGUCUCACGUGUUCCUCCUUCACUUGCCUUCGCUCUGCAUCAGCCAGCACAGCUUGAAUGGCUUCUAAAUUGUCUUGCAGCCUUUUCACUUCUUUUUCGACGCCCGUUACCAGCCUCACCUGUUCUUUUGCCUCUUCAACUGCCGUUGAAUUCAGCUGCUUUAAGACAGCGGACACGAUCGCAUCAACCAUUUUGAAAGUUGGAAGCUUAAAGAUGAGAGAAUGAAAUUUGUGAGUUAUAAUUUCUGGACUUACAUGUAUGCAGGAGAAGACUUAGAUAACAUAUAGGUGAAAAACAAUCGGAGUUGACUCCGAACAAUCGAACUGAUCGCUUGAAUGGGUUCGGUUUGGUUCGGUUUGCUUUCGUUUCAGAUUACGAAAUAAUAAAUUAAAUAAAAAUAAUAGUAAGAUAAAAUUAUUAUGAAAUAAUUAUAGUUAUGUGAAAUGUUCAUUAGAAUAAAUUUUUUAUUUCUCCACUAAAUAAUUUUUUUCUCUUAUAGUUUUUUAUAUUUCUUACAAAUUU